AAGUAGCUGUUAUAAAUUCUUUAGUAAAAGGGGCAUCAUUCAUAAAUGUCCAUGGGUAAUGAUAGCGAUGAUUGAACCGAUCCUCGACGCUUUGUAUGGAAACAAGAGCGUCCUUAAUGUCUCUAUUACGGCAAAGCAUAAACAAAGUAGCGUUCAUAUUGGGCUGCUUAGGAAAAUAAUCUGAAUCUGUCAAGGAUGACUCUCCUCUUUGCUUUGCUGUGGCUUUUUUUAGAAAUACAUACUUGACUUUUAGUUCCUUAGGCCCAUCUUUAGAAGACUGUAAAUAGAAUGAAAUAAUGCAGAAUAA